GUGGGGGAUAUUGCACAAUGGGGGAAACCCUGAUGCAGCGACGCCGCGUGAAGGAAGACGUACUUCGGUAUGUAAACUUCUAUCAGCAGGGAAGAAGAUGACGGUACCUGACUAAGAAGCCCCGGCUAACUACGUGCCAGCAGCCGCGGUAAUACGUAGGGGGCAAGCGUUAUCCGGAUUUACUGGGUGUAAAGGGAGCGUAGACGGUGAAGCAAGUCUGAUGUGAAAACCCGGGGCUCAACUCCGGGAUUGCAUUGGAAACUGUUUUACUUGAGUGCUGGAGGGGCAAGCGGAAUUCCUGGUGUAGCGGUGAAAUGCGUAGAUAUCAGGAAGAACACCGGAGGCGAAGGCGGCUUACUGGACAAUAACUGACGUUGAGGCUCGAAAGCGUGGGAAGCAAACAGGAUUAGAAACCCGAGUAGUCC
rnacentral:rRNA from 1 species